AAGAGGACAGACUAUACACCUUUCAGUUGCCUGAAGAUUAUUCUAUCCAAUCCACCAAGCCAAGGGGAUUAUCAUGGGUGCCCAUUCCGUCACAGUGAUCCAGAGCUGCUGAAGCAAAAGUUGCAGUCAUACAAGAUCUCUCCUGGAGGGAUAAGCCAGAUUUUGGAUUUAGUAAAGGGGACACAUUACCAGGUAGCCUGUCAAAAAUACUUUGAGAUGAUACACAAUGUGGGUGAUUGUGGCUUUUCUUUGAAUCAUCCUAAUCAUUUCUUUUGUGAGAGCCAACGUAUUCUAAAUGGUGGUAAAGACAUAAAGAAGGAAUCUAUCCAACCAGAAACUCCUCAACCCAAACCAAGUGUCCAGAAAACCAAGGAUGCAUCAUCUGCUCUGGCCUCUUUAAAUUCCUCUCUGGAAAUGGAUAUGGAAGGACUAGAGGAUUACUUUAGUGAAGAUUCUUAGGCAGUUUUGUAACCCUUUUUCCUCAAUAGCCUGUUUCCUGUUUUUAAGAUUUUGCCUUUGUUGUUGAAAAAGUGUUGCACUCUGUUGUGUAAUUGUGACACAAUUACAGCUGAUUGCAGCCUCAACCUUCCCAGCUCAAGUGAUCCUCCUACCUCAGCCUCCCAAGUAGUUGGGACCACAGGUGUGCACCCCAUAUCCAGCUAUUUUUUUUCAAUUUUUUUUGUAGAGGGGGGGUCUCCCUAUGUUGCCCAGGCAGAUCUCAGACUGCUGGGCUCAAGCGAUCCUCACACCUCAGCCUCCCAGAGUGCUGGGAUUACAGUUGUGAGCCACUGUGCCUGGCCUUUCUUUUUUUAACCUUUUUGUUUAACUUCUCUCUUCACUGCAUCCCAAUCCAUCUACAGGCAUGCACACUUAUUAGGAAAGCAGGUUUGAGGUAACGAGACUUUCACUAUAUUUUGCUUUGACAGAAGGAAAGAGGAAGAGUUUCUAUUAAAAUCUGUCACUUGAGUGAUGUCAUUCAAGUCCUAUUUUAGGAGAUAAAAACACCUUUGGGGACUGGUUAAAGUCCCCCAGAAACUACAAUAAAGAACAACUUUUGUUUUAACUCUUAAUCAUUUUGUAAUUUUGACUCAAUCCUUUUCUGGACCAUUUUUGUUAAUAAAUAUCAAAGUGU
rnacentral:lncRNA from 10 species